rnacentral:rRNA from 1 species
GAUGAACGCUGGCGGCGUGCCUAAUACAUGCAAGUCGAGCGAACAGACGAGGAGCUUGCUCCUCUGACGUUAGCGGCGGACGGGUGAGUAACACGUGGAUAACCUACCUAUAAGACUGGGAUAACUUCGGGAAACCGGAGCUAAUACCGGAUAAUAUAUUGAACCGCAUGGUUCAAUAGUGAAAGACGGUUUUGCUGUCACUUAUAGAUGGAUCCGCGCCGCAUUAGCUAGUUGGUAAGGUAACGGCUUACCAAGGCAACGAUGCGUAGCCGACCUGAGAGGGAGAUCGGCCACACUGGCACUGAGACACGGUCCAGACUCCUACGGGAGGCAGCAGUAGGGAAUCUUCCGCAAUGGGCGAAAGCCUGACGGAGCAACGCCGCGUGAGUGAUGAAGGUCUUCGGCUCGUAAAACUCUGUUAUUAGGGAAGAACAAAUGUGUAAGUAACUAUGCACGUCUUGACGGUACCUAAUCAGAAAGCCACGGCUAACUACGUG